rnacentral:lncRNA from 1 species
GGAGGGAAGACUCACCCUGGGUGUGGGUGGUACCAGCCAAUAGGCUUUUAGCUGGGAUGGAAUACAAAGGGAAAGAAGGAGGAAAUCUGCCCUUUUCUUUGGAGGAGCUCCGGUCUUCACCCUCAUCUUUGGAUGUUCAUUUUCAGCCUUCUAGGGCAGACCUUCUGGUUUCCCAACAGGGAUUCACAUUGGCUCUGCAACCUUGGGCUGGAUCCUCUGGCUCUCCAGUGCACAGACGGCCAUUCAGACAGAGACCAGGACCAGUGCUUCCAUUUCCUGGGGACUUUCAUUGAGAGGUCACAAGAAAGGAAGGUACUCAGUUGGGCUGCUCGCUUUCCUGGCCUUCAGAUGCUGGUGGUGUGCUUUUAAAACAUUAAAGGAGAGAGCACAAGGCCAAGGGAAAGUCCACGGGAGCAGGAUGACAGCUGAGGUGGCUAAGCCCUAACUAUUACUAUUAGGAGCCAAAAGCGAGUCUCCAGUUGCCACGAUAACCAAAUUUACCCAAGGCCAAUGGUCGCCCAUACUCAGCAUUGUAUCAUCAGUCUUUUUCCUUGCCCUUUAAAUGUCAUGUUAAAUAAACCAGCAUGUUAU